GGUUGCGGACAGUGUCUGGUGGGUAGUUUGACUGGGGCGGUCUCCUCCUAAAGAGUAACGGAGGAGCACGAAGGUUGGCUAAUCCUGGUCGGACAUCAGGAGGUUAGUGCAAUGGCAUAAGCCAGCUUGACUGCGAGCGUGACGGCGCGAGCAGGUGCGAAAGCAGGUCAUAGUGAUCCGGUGGUUCUGAAUGGAAGGGCCAUCGCUCAACGGAUAAAAGGUACUCCGGGGAUAACAGGCUGAUACCGCCCAAGAGUUCAUAUCGACGGCGGUGUUUGGCACCUCGAUGUCGGCUCAUCACAUCCUGGGGCUGAAGUAGGUCCCAAGGGUAUGGCUGUUCGCCAUUUAAAGUGGUACGCGAGCUGGGUUUAGAACGUCGUGAGACAGUUCGGUCCCUAUCUGCCGUGGGCGCUGGAGAACUGAGGGGGGCUGCUCCUAGUACGAGAGGACCGGAGUGGACGCAUCACUGGUGUUCGGGUUGUCAUGCCAAUGGCACUGCCCGGUAGCUAAAUGCGGAAGAGAUAAGUGCUGAAAGCAUCUAAGCACGAAACUUGCCCCGAGAUGAGUUCUCCCUGAGACUUAAAGUCUCCUGAAGGAACGUUGAAGACGACGACGUUGAUAGGCCGGGUGUGUAAGCGCAGCGA
rnacentral:rRNA from 1 species